rnacentral:SRP_RNA from 1 species
CCCCAGGUCCGGGGGGCUCGUGCGCGCGAACCGCGUCAGGACCGUGAAGGUAGCAGCGCUAAGCGAUGUCACGUGUCGCCUCGGGGUGCCUGGGGCAC